ACCGCCGCCUCCGUCAGCGCAGCGAUUGCAUCAGACUGCGGCGCUUGCCAAGAGGCGAACGAGCCGGAUCACGGGCCACCGGCACCGCAGCUCGACCUUCACCACUCCUCCUCCCCGGUAUUAGUUUUUUCCCCUCUUCACCCCCUUUUCUGCACCCCUGCAGUGUAGCUGUGGUGGUAAAAGUAACGCCGGACUUACUCCGCCAGGAGCAUUUUUCUCGUUCCAGCUGUUCUCCCUGAGGGUUUUCCAGGAAAGCAUCGGCAUCCCACAACAGCCAAGGUAAAUCUGCUGCAUGGGGUAAAUCUUCGCCCCGAGGUAAAUCCCAUCUGCCCCACGGGGUAAAUCAUCUCAUCAGCCCCCUGAGGGGUUUCAAAGAAAGCACUGGCAACUGACGACCCAGUCCAGGGAGCCAGUGAGGUCUGAGCAAGGCUUGUGCCAGAGUCUGGGAAUGUCGGGGUAGCUGCUCUGGGCAAGAUGCCGGGAUCCAUCCACCACGGGGGAGGAGGUAACGACCCUGGGAGGCUUCUUGGGAACUAGAACCGAACCUGCAGCCUGCCGAGCCCCGACAACCCCUGGCCUCGGGAAUCCCCUGCCCUGAUCCCUGAGAGGGGACAGGGGCACGGUCCACCUCCACUCCCUGGGGACUGGAGUCCCCCUCCACCUCCCCAGUGUCGUUUCCAUCCAAAAAGCCCCAGCAGGACUGUUUUUUUCCCACCCCAUCAGUGCCUAGCCCCACUUCUCCCAGUAACUCCAGUCCCAAAGUAGGCUCAUUAGUGCUCCCACGAGUCCAGGAUUUCCAUCACCAUUAUUUCUGAUGAGGGACCCCUUAGGACCUGGGACGGAGUGCUCACACUGCAAGAAGCUCCACCUUCCAGGUACCGAGACUCAUCCCUGUCCCCUGGCUCAUGCCCAGGAUGCUUUUCCCACCCAUCCCACUUAAUUCCCUUUGGCACAUCAACACUGGCACACAGCUGGAGGACCAUGACACCGGGGUGAAUGUGGGGACACUCACCCGUAACCCCCCUCUUGCCUUUUCCUUCAGAGCCAAAAGCCAGUGGAGAUGGCAAAAGCUUAUUUUUAGCUGUGACCAUAACAGCAGUUCUGUUCCCAGAUGCAGUGGUUUCUGGAUGGACACCUUCACCUGCCUCUCACCAUGCCCGGACAGCCCGUAUCACUGCAUCCUACCCCGCCCAGAGGUGCGGAGGAUACCCUGCCCCGGGGACAUCGAGCUGGGAGGAGGGAGGAAAGUUCCCAGGGGCUGGUGAUCCAGUUGUACCAGGUGGUGCUUUUUGGAAGCUCCACGUGCUGCUUUUCUCUGUGGAAAUGCCCAUGGACAAGACACGUUUGGCAGGUGCCAGCUGCACCCCAAGCUCCUGUUUUCUGUCAUUGGGAUAGAGGCUGAAGCCAGUGUGUGUGGGUGAAGCUUUGUAUGACUGUGCUCCGAGACCCUUGUGUCUUCUUCCUCCUCCUCUUCCCAUUAUGCAGCCCUUAACCCAGUGCCCCUGGAUGCUGCAGCACCCUAGGGACACCCCAAUGCCACGGGGCAGAACCCACAUCAUGCCUGGCUAAGCCCAUGGCAGCAAAACCAGAGCCCAGCACAGGGAAUAAAGAUGAUGGUGCUACAGGUGGGGGUGAAGUCAAUUUAACUUCAUCCUAGGCAGGCCAGCACCUUCCCCAGGGAGCAUGAUCUGGCUCCACAGCUGAGCCAGCCCGGGGUCACAUCUGUUCUGCACCUAGGCCAAAGGGAAACCGCAGCAUUACCCAAGGGAAGGGAAAAGCAUUUUUGCUCCCAACACCUCUUCCCUGCAGUGUUGACUCCAAGGAGAUCAGGCCAAGCAGGGACUGCUCUCUCAAUACUACCUGGGGCAGCAAAAGCAGUCCAGAAACUCCUCUACCCCUAUGGAGUAUAUCCUGGCGGAGCAGCAUCACCCCUUCCAGCGCAGCAGCUCAAAUCCAGCAUCAGGGCACCUAGCAGCUCAUUUCCACAUGGCUAAAAGUGGAAAAAAGUGUAUUUUUCCCUUCUUCCCAGGGCUCCAGCUACACCUCUAGAUGGUCCCCGGGGCUCAGCAUCUCGUCUUCACUCCUUCCAUAUCAGAUGAGCACAGCAGCACACAAAAUAGCUGGCAGCCCAGGGUUAAUUCCUCCCAUACCUGAGCUGACAUUUCUAUUACACAAUUAUGGAGAUUCCUACAGUAACCCUAGAAGUUCUCAUCGAAGUCUGGGAGGCUCCCACUGCCCAGGGGGUUUUCCCACUCAGAGGUGCACCCCAGCUCCCUCCAUCCCAGUGAUGAAGGAUAAAAACCAAUCAAAAUUAUAUUGACUUUUAUUAUGCAAAAAUGGUAACUUUUAUAAAAAGUUUAUAAAGCAAGUACAAGACAUGUUCGCAGAAAAUCACCUUCCUGCACAAAAGGUACAAAAAGUUAUACUCUAGUAUAGAGCUCCACAAUACACGAGGCCACAGCCCCAGAGUUUAGUUCAUAAUCGAGGAUGUUUGUCCCCCCGCCCCAAAACCCCCUAAAUCCCACCCCGCCAUCUCAUUAAACACCUUUAAAAAAAAGGACUCGCUGCUAUAAUCCAAAAAUAUACAGACAACCUGCGCUUCA